CCCCAUGCACAGGUGUCCAUGCACGGGUGUUGGAGGAGGGGAGCUCUGUGGACGGGCGCCGCCUCCUCUGCCGAUGUGCGUGUGGCUGCACACACAGGUGGUGUAUCUGCCGUGGGAAGACCCAUCUCAAAGUGCAGAGCGUGCAGUUGGGAGACACGCGGCAGGGGUGAGGGAGAAGGGGAGUGAGCGGGCAGGGGCCUGAGCGGCUCUGCUAACAGGACGUUGGAAGGGCAGGCUUGCGGGGAGCCCGUCGCGGGACUCGAUCCUGCGACCCCGGGGUCACUCCCUGGGCUGAAGGCAGACGCUCAGGUGCUGAGCCCCCAGGUGCCCGCCGUGCACAGGUGUCCGUGCACGGGUGUUGGAGGAGGGGAGCUCUGCACGGGCGCCGCCUCCUCUGCCGAUGUGCGUGUGGCUGCAAACACAGGUGGUGUAUCUGCCGUGGGAAGACCCAUCUCAAAGUGCAGAGCGUGCAUUUGGGAGACACGCGGCAGGGGUGAGGGAGAAGGGGAGUGAGCGGGCAGGGGCCUGAGCGGCUCUGCUAACAGGACGUUGGAAGGGCAGGCUUGCGGGGAACCCGACGCGGGACUCGAUCCCGCGACCCCGGGGUCACGCCCUAGGGUGAAGGCAGACGCUCAGCCCCUGGGCCCCCCAGGUGUCACCCAGGGGACCCUCUGCUGCCCUCUUCAAGACAUCCCAACUGAGCGUGCGGCCCAGGGUGCGGCUUGUCCCGAGGACCACCCGGAGUGUUCCUGAGAAGGAUGUGCGUGCAGCUGUGCUCGGUGCAGAGCUCGGCUCGGCGGAAGGGCGUUCUGUUCUCGCUGCUUGAUCUACGAAGCGGCACAUUGAAAUCUCCAGCUGCGAUGGAGGCUCUGUUUCCCUUUGCAGUUCUGUCAACCUGGGAUUCACACAUCGUGCGACUCGACCGUUAGGUGCACACCCACUUAAGAUUAGUGUGGAAGUCACCCAGCUCAUUGGAUUCGACCCAGCACUUCUCUCCAAUGAACACCUGCCUAAUUUGGGAAGUCUGCCCUGCGGCAGGAAUUGCAACACUGGCCGGAUAUACAGUGAAAAGGGAAUUGGCUCUCACAAUUAUGGGGGGCUGAGAAGUCCCAACAUCAGCAGUCAACAACAACCUGGAGAUCUAGGAGAGCUAAUGCUGUAAUUCAGUCUGAGUCUGAGUCUCAGGCCGGAGAAGACCAAGGACCUAGCUCAGAGGCAAUCCGGCAGGAGGAAUCCCUUUUUACUCCGGGAAGAGUCCGCCUUUUUGUUGCUUCCAGACCUUGGAUGAAGCCUGUCCAUGUUAGGGAAGGACAACUGGCCAGACUUGAGCUUUCCUGUUUAUGGCCGAGUCUCUGCUAUGCCUCCUUGAGAUUUCACUACAACUACUUUGAUCCCAUGAAGAGUCACACAUUUCCAGUUAAUAGACCAGCAGCUGAUCUUGUGUAUUAUAUAUAAGUUUGUGUGCUUAACCCAAUAGGACAAUUAUUUUUCUUUGGGUCUUAUGGUUUGUCCUGUUAUUCUUAUUUGUGAAGUCAGUGCUAUAUGAGCAACAAAAACCAGAUGUAGAAAUUCCAGGGAGGAAAAGUCAUUGCUGGAGAACUAGUAACUUAAUCAGAACUGAUUUGACCUGAAAUUGUCUAGCAGAGGAAUGCCCAAAGGAUUUUUUUUUUUUUGAAAUGAAGUUAUUUUACAGAAGGAAACUCUGAAAAGCUUACUCUGAAGUCCUACAGCAAUGAAAAACUUUUUUGAAGUUAAUAACCAUUUUUAUCAGAAAUCAUACUCAAUCUGUACACUGUUAACUCUUCCCUGGGACGCACUUGACCUUGGCCAACUAGCCACUAUUUGGCAUCUACCAUUAAAAGGAUUCUAAGUACUAGUUUCCUCCUUAAAUUCCUAAAAAAUUAAAGAAGUUAAAGUUAAAAAAAAAAAACCUCUAUUUUAA